GCGAGUAAGAUUGUUUCGUGUUUGAUUUGAAAUCAUGCUUUUCAUAUUAGCUUAUGAUGCUCGCU
rnacentral:tRNA from 1 species